rnacentral:rRNA from 1 species
UACGAAGGGGGCUAGCGUUGCUCGGAAUCACUGGGCGUAAAGGGUGCGUAGGCGGUUCUUUAAGUCCGGGGUGAAAUCCUGGAGCUCAACUCCAGAACUGCCUUUGAUACUGAGGAUCUUGAGUUCGGGAGAGGUGAGUGGAACUGCGAGUGUAGAGGUGAAAUUCGUAGAUAUUCGCAAGAACACCAGUGGCGAAGGCGGCUCACUGGCCCGAUACUGACGCUGAGGCACGAAAGCGUGGGGAGCAAACAGG